rnacentral:rRNA from 1 species
GACGAACGCUGGCGGCGUGCUUAACACAUGCAAGUCGAACGGAAAGGCCCUGCUUUUGUGGGGUGCUCGAGUGGCGAACGGGUGAGUAACACGUGAGUAACCUGCCCUUGACUUUGGGAUAACUUCAGGAAACUGGGGCUAAUACCGGAUAGGAGCUCCUGCUGCAUGGUGGGGGUUGGAAAGUUACGGCGGUUGGGGAUGGACUCGCGGCUUAUCAGCUGGUUGGUGGGGUAGGGGCUGACCAAGGCUUGGACGGGUAGCCGGCCUGGGAGGGUGACCGGCCACAGUGGGACUGGGGUACGACCCAGACUCCUACGGGAGGCAGCAGUGGGGAAUAUUGCACAAUGGGCGGAAGCCUGAUGCAGCAACGCCGCGUGCGGAAUGACGGCCUUCGGGUUGUAAACCGCUUUCGCCUGUGACGAAGAGUGAGUGACGGUAAUGGGUAAAGAAGCACCGGCUAACUACGUG